rnacentral:lncRNA from 1 species
GGAAAAGGAAAAUGGGGUUUGCCAAAGGCGGGGCAGAGGCACCCAGGGUUCACCAAAGCUCUGCCGUUUCCAAGGGCAAGGAGCCCACAUUUUGCCGUAGCCGAAGCCAAGGGCAUCCAUAGGCUCUUCUGCUUCUUCUGCUACCUGGCACCAAUCCCUCGGCUGUGAUUUUGGGGCAGAAGAUAAUUAGUUUGGAGGUGCACUGGCUGCCAUGAUGGCACUGCUGCUGUCAGCUGAAAGAAAUUCCCCGUGCCACAGUGCUGCUGGCGCUCACUGGAUGCUGGUGAUUGCAAUGGUUUGGGCUACUGGGCUACAAGCUGGGGCCAACGUGCUGCAGCUCUGCGGAGCAAACCAGCCUCUUCAAACGCUGAAGAUAGAGCAUAGUUGAAAAAUGUUGAAGCAUAUUUAGCUCACG